UGACCUCUGACCUCAAAUCAGGUAGGACUACCCGCUGAACUUAAGCAU
rnacentral:rRNA from 2 species